CCUACGGGUGGCUGCAGUGGGGAAUAUUGCACAAUGGGCGAAAGCCUGAUGCAGCCAUGCCGCGUGUGUGAUGAAGGCCUUCGGGUUGUAAAAUACUUUCAGUCGGGAAGAAAGUGCACUGUUUUAUACCCUUGUGAAUUGACGUUACCUACAGAAGAAGCACCGGCUAACUCCGUGCCAGCAGCCGCGGUAAUACGGAGGGUGCGAGCGUUAAUCGGAAUUACUGGGCGUAAAGCGCACGUAGGCGGUUGAUUGAGUCAAGUGUGAAAUCCCCGGGCUGAACGUGGGAAUUGCAGUUGAAACUGGUCAGCUAGAGUGUGUGAGAGGUGGGUGGAAUGCGAGGUGUAGCGGUGAAAUGCGGAGAGAUGUGGAGGAACACCGGUGGCGAAGGCG
rnacentral:rRNA from 1 species